GGUGGGCCGGAUAAAUGUCCUCCGCGGGCCGCAUGUGGCCCACGGGCUGUAGUUUGAGGACACCUGGUCUAGAGGGAAAGCCAGGUGGAACCAGGGACCCCCUAGAGUGGACCCGAGAGACCGGCGUACCUCGAACUUCACGGAGCCCGUCUGGGUGGUGUCGAAGGCGUUGAAGAGAUUAGCAUUCUAAUUACUUCUGAAAAAGUGGGCCUCAGCAAGGCGAGUUUUCCAAUUAAAAUUGUCCUGAAGAUAAAUUGAGGUCUUUGGCUGAGAGCACUUCAGCAUUCUCCCAUCCUGGAGCAAUAGCAUCUGUCAUCCCAGAGGGACCGAGCCGGGAUUCGCAUUUGUGCUGGAUCUGCCUGAAGAGCUUGAGGUUCUCCUUAGGAGAGAACUGGGGCAUCCUGGGCCAUGGACCCAGUGCUUAGGUGCUGUCCCAGAGACGCGCAGGGCAGGGACCACCGGAGUACUGCGCUGAAUGCACUGAGCAAAGCCGACCUCUCCAUUGCAGGAAACCUCAAGCGCCCUGGAGAUGCCUGAGGAAGCAACUAGACAGACUGUUCCUUACAGCGGGGCUGUGGGCAUUCGCGGGCCGGGCUCUGCUGGGGCUGGCUCUGUCUGGCGGGGACAGUGCUCUGGCCACAGCCGGAGUGCAAGGUGGGCUGCUGCACCUGGCCUUCGCAGCGUUCGGUCUUGGGAGACACAGAACGAAAAGCAACUGGCGAACUGUUAAUUAGCUGAGCAGACUCCUAAAGGCUAAUGGUUGUAGGAAAUAACUUACUCGGACUCUCAAGUGAACCACAGGGAAUCAAGUGCUUGCCUUGGAACUGGCUGCGUCCCCUUCCUGUGACUGCCCCCACCCCCGCCCCACUGCCCUCCUGCUCUCUCACCCUCUCCUCUUGACCUCU